CCCUCCAAUUACAAUCAGCCUAUCCCCACAUGCUCGAAAAGCCAAACCCCAACAGUUCAUAGAAGCUGCUCUUUGAGGCAUUUGUCCUAUGGUAACCCGUGCUUUAGUUCGCUUGUCAUACUUCCUAACCUCCAUGUCAGCACAAUCGGCAGCAUACAAUUCAUUAUUUACAACAGCAACCAAGGGAGGUGCAGCAGAUGUAGCAUGCGUAUCAUUCCUAUCUGCAUUAGCUUGAACAGGAGACAUGUUUGGAAUUUCAGUCCAUGUUCUUGUUUUCAGAUCAUACUCCUCCCCCCAAGUCAACUGCUUUAAUUCAGCUCCUCCAAGCGGUCCACGGUAUUCAAAAUUGUCUCUAGCAUCCUUGAAAAAUCUCCUCAUUGAGAUCAAACACCAUAAUCAAGUUAUCCACCCUUCUCUCCCCAUUUCUCUUGUGUGCGGUCCAGUGGACUUACCCACAAUCCACAACUUGUUUCCAAAACUACUCUACAACACCAAUAUCUGGAAUAAAACCAUCAAGUUCCUUCCAAAUUCCUGAACUAAGUGCAUAUACCUCAACCUUAGGUGGCAGCAAGUACUGACCAUCACCCUGAGCAUAGCCCAUCCUCAUAACCUUGUAAUCUCGUGGUUUAAUUGCAAAGCCAAACCCAAAAGCAAACAUAUAAGUCCUUGAGUUGUCGAAGCAAAGUGGAUUCAUUGGGAGGGUGAGGCAUCUAUUUAUCCUAGGGUUCCAAAGUACCAAACGAUUUUCAUUCAAAUAAAUGAUUUGACCAACAGAGAACACCGUUGCAUAUACCAACAAUCCUACAAUAAAAUAAUCUGGCACUCUGCCAUUAAAAGGGGAUCCUAAUGGUAUGACAGUGUUAGCGUCCGCUGAUGCAUCACUGAGUUUAAUUAAUUCCUUCUUUUUAAGUUGAGCAGAAAUACCUCACGAUUUCACCUUUAGAGGGUUUUAGGAGAACCGACCGUUGUGUAUGUAGCCAUAUGAAUUCAGGGCUUGAAAUUAGUGAGUUCCAACAUUUUAAUAAGCACCUAAUUUGGAGGAGAGAUUUGGGUGGGAGCCUUGAAAAGAUUUCGGCCAUCAAUUCUUCUGAGAGAUAGUCUGACAUUUUUCUUUGGGUAUGAAACUGAAGAUUUUGUUUCUGUUGUUUAAAUAAGAAAGGUUGGGUUGGGAGAGGGAGAGGGAGAGGGAGUUCUUGAAAGAGAGACUGCUUGGUGGGUGUGAGCAGGUUUUUGAAUUAUGAACAGAGCUUCAAAGGCAAGUUGUGAUGGUAAGAAGGCAAGAGGAAGCACUAUUUAUACAGGGUAGAUAGAGAAAAGACAAGAGAUUGUAACAGAAACAACACAUGCAUUCUAAUCUAGAAAGGUAAAAUGUUUAAUAACGUUUGCCGGAAAAAUAAAGAAGACGAUCCUCACACACUUUCUCCAGUGGACUGAUUUUCUCUCAAGCUCAAAUUGUGAUUUUUUUGGAGAAAACAAGGUUGCCGUUCGAUAUGACCUAGGUUGUUCUAGAAGUGUUUUAUUCAGAAUAGGAAAUGGACCUCAACGUGUUUAUUGGAUCAUUGGGCCUGGACACAAAGAAUAACCACAAGCCCAAGUUCCAUUUCCUCCAUCAGAAGCCGAUUAUCAUGGUUUCACAUUUCAUUAGACAGCUGCACAGUGUAUAAUGUAUACGUUUAUAUACUACUAGAAGCUUCUAUUGUAAAUACAUUUUCUGUAUUUUAAUUUCCUAAUAGUUAGUUAGGAUAAGAAUCCAAUAGAAUUAGCACAACUGUAUAGUUUGUUACAUUUUUGAUUCCUUUAGAUAGCUAUAAAUAUAGGAAUGUACAGAGCAUGAGAUAUACAGUGAAAUACACAAAGCAAAUCUUUCAUACAUUUCCUCUUAAGUAAUUUUAUUUUCUAAUAAAUAACUUGCUUUAGAUCUCUCCUCACAUUUAGGAAACAAAGAAACCGAAAAUUUAUUUGAGCUAGGUUUUGUGCAUUGUAGCAGGGUAAUAAUUGUGGUUUCAAACUUGUAUUGAGUUUCAAUUAAUUACUUGCCGAUUAUCAUAUUUCUGUUAGUUGACUCACUUAUGGUAACUGGGGAUUUUCAUAAAUUGGUAAGUAAGCUGAUAUAGUGAUGCCGGCGUCAAUAAGAUAUUACAUAGCUAAUUUGGACUUUUAGGGAGGAAAUACAUUAAAUUAUAUUUAGCUCUUGAUAUUAUGAUGAUGUGAUUUCACGAAAAAGAAAUGAAGUUAUAAUUUGAACAGUUUUUUAAAGUUGAAAAAACUUUUGCUUGCUUACCUUUGUAAUUGAGGAGUAAACUUACGUUGUUGUAAUUUAGUGUGGUAAAGUUGUUGGCCCUCCUGCUUCAACCCCCCAACCCCACAUAAAAAAAGUUAAAACCAAAGAGAGAUAUUUUCUGUUAUUAAACUAUGUUUGGAUCUUGUUCAUAUUCAGUGUCUAGUCAAGUUAAAAUUAUACAAUAAUAAAAAUUAUUCCUCAAUAUCUGUGUCUUUCUUCAUUAAGCAUGCUUUAAUUAGUAAAUUGUUAUGGACUUCUUAAAAAAUUGUUUGUUCAACUGUGCUUUGCACUUUAAGCACUUACCGCUUUCUACUGUCUUUGCUUGCGGUAAUACUGGAAUUCUGUAAUGCCGUGUGAUGUUGAGUUCUUUAGUUUCAGUACUGGAUCUCAGAAACAGUGAGCUUAGAGAUAUCCAUGAUAUUACUGGUUUAACAUUGCAUAAUACUCCCUCUGUUCCAUCUUAUGUGGCAGGAUUCGUUGUACAGGGUCACAUUACUGAAUAUUUGAUGUGAAUUCAGACAUAUUCUUUAUUUUUUUUGAGUUCUUUUUUACAUAUUUGAAAACUUCAUAAAAAAAAAGUACUUUAAAUUACAAGUAUUAUUUAUUAAUUUAAAAUAUUUAAAGAAAUCUUGGCAAAGAAGAACUUCUUUGACUUGUCAAAUGGUAAUAGUGUCGCAUAAAAUGGAUCAGAGAGAGUGGUAUUUAGAUGAGGCUAUUCAUUGGAUUGUGUGUUAUAGUAAUAGAGAUGGAGCUUUCGAAUAAGCUAUUGGUUCGUAAUUUAAGAUACUUCUAGUGAAUUGGUGCUCUCUGUAUGAGCUAGCGCAUGAAUCAUCUUUUGGACUUGUCUGUUAAUUUAUAUGAGAAUUGGGCUGCUCUUUUUUGAUAAAGGGGUCAUGAUUGUGGUAAUCUCAAUGUUCUACUGUUUGAGUGAUGAACCGCUUUGGAAAAAUAGUCUGCAACUGAGAAUUUUUAUGGAUUAAGCAUGAUAUUUCAAGUGCUAUUGGGAUCAGGAGAAAUAGGUAAUGUCUGUUGGAGUAGUAUAUCGGGAAUCCUGAUUUUUAUGAUCGAGCAGAUAAAUUAAGUAUAUCAGUAUGCCUGAUGGGAAGAAAUCAUUCUUGUUGAGCAACUAUGUUGAGUCUACUGUCACUCAAAAUCUGGUGGACAGUUUGGACAAAAAGGAACAAUAGAUUGAAUUUUUAAAGGAAAUAAGAGAAACAUUCUCUGCCUUAAGUUUAAGGUUCUUGUUUUUUUUUUUUUUUUUGGCUGCUAGCUUGAUGUUGCAAACUAGUGUUUGUACAGGAUAUUGAUGUCAUGUUAGCCAUGAUCGGGAAAUCGCUGAAGUGCCUACCACCUCAAUUUACAAAUUCACAGAAGUUAUUUGACAUAUGACUUAAUUCACAACUCUAUUAGUCGAUUUGUGUGCAACUCAACCAUUUAUGAGUGUCUGCUAUUUUCCACCAGUACAUAUAUCGAAUAACUCUAUCCUCCAAUAACUACAAAGAGGGUGACAUUCAAACUUGCAACAACUAGAAAGGGUGGUGGAGAUGAGGUGAGAGGAGGCAUGAUAUUUCAGAGAACCAGUUCGAAUUCAUGCCAGGAUGCUCAACUACAGAGGCUAUUCAUCUUGUGAGGAGACUGGUGGAGCAGUAUAGGGAGAGGAAGAAGAACUUACACAUGGUAUUCAUCGAUCUAGAAAAGGCAUACAAUAAAGUGCCAAGGGAGGUUCUAUGGAGAUGCUUGGAGGCUAGAGGGGUACCUCUGGCGUACAUUAGGGCGAUCAAAGACAUGUAUGAUAGAGCCAAGACCAGGGUAAGGACAAUCAGAGGGGACUCAGAGCACUUCCCAGCUGUGAUGGGUUGCACCAGGGGUCAGCUCUUAGCCCAUUUUUGUUUGCCUUGGUGACAGAUGGAUUGACACGGCAAAUUCAAGAUGAGGUGUAAUGGUGUAUGUUAUUCGCGGAUGACAUAGUCUUGAUUGACGAGACUUGCAGCGGAGUUAAUGCUAAGCUGGAGGGUUGGAGACAAACUUUGGAGUCUAAAGGGCUCAAGUUGAGUAGGACCAAGACAGAGUACUUAGAGUGCAAGUUCAGUGACAUACCGCAUGAGGAUGACGUGGAAGUGAGGCUUGGUACCCAGGCCAUUCAAAAGAAAAGAAGUUUCAAGUAUCUCGGGUUUAUUAUACAAGGAAAUGGGGAUAUUGAUGAUGAUGUCCCUCACCGUAUUGGUGCAGGCUGGAUGAAAUGGAGGCUCGCUUCCGGAGUGCUGUGUGAUAAGAAGGUGCCACCAAAACUUAAAGGCAAGUUCUAUAAAGUGAUGGUUAGGCUGACUUUAUUAUAUGGGGCGGAGUGUUGACGAGUCAAGAACUCUCACGUUUAGAAGAUGAAAGUUGCGGAAAUGAGAAUGCUGCGAUGGAUGUGUGGGCACACUAGGAGGGAUACAAUUAGGAAUGAAGAUGUCUGAGACAAAGUGAGAGUGGCCUCGUUGGAGGAUAAGAUGUGUGAAGUGAGGCUGAGAUGGUUUGGACAUGUGAAGAGGAGAGACACUCAUGCCCCAGUGCGGAGGUGUGAGAGGUUGGCUAUGGACGGUUUCAGGAGAAGCAGAGGUAGGCCGAAGAAGUAUUGGGGAGAGGUGAUUAGACAGGACAUGGCGCAGUUCCAGCUUAUCAAGUACAUGACCUUAGAUAGGUAGUCCCGCUUGCGCUUUUGUACUAGUAGUCGUAGUUUUGCCCUAUAGUUUCUUGUCAUUUGUUUUAUGCUACUAUCUGUUGUUCCUUGUACAUCGAUUAUUUUAUUUAUCUAUGGUAACUACUGUUUUUUUUUUUUCCAGAUUGUUGUAUCAUGAUUUUUCGCUUUCGUUAUUUCAUUUCCAUACUAUUUUGAAUUGCUUGUCCUUAUCUAACCUUUUUUUGCCAUGCUUUCUCUUGAGCCAAGGGUCUUUCGGAAACAGCCUCCUUACCUUCCGAGUUAGGGCUUUAUAGCAGGCAUAUUGUUAUCAAUAUCAGGCUCAAGCUAAAAAACCAGCUCCAAGAAUCUGAUCACGAGAGAUGGUCUCACGAAAAGUUCCUCAAAUUCUGGAAUACUACACCCCAAGCUAUCCGGUGGACAGUUUGGACAGAAAAGAACAAUGGAGCUUUUGAAGGCGACAAGAGAAACAUUUGAACAAUGGAGCUUUUGAAGGCGACAAGAGAAACAUUCUUUGUCUUGAGCUUACUUUUUGUUUGCUAGUUUUUAUACAGCGUAUACAUGCCAUGUUAGACGUGUUCUUGGAAUUGCACAACUUGUAAUUAUUUUCUGGUGCACUAGCUUAGUGCUUAUCCAUCUUUAAUAGUGAUACAUUAUGAUGUAUCAAAAAUUUGGUGUUUACUGACUAACUUAUGUUAUUCAGGAACUCAACUGCUUGAGAAGGCUAUUAGACAAACUGGAACAGGAAAGUUCGCAGAAACAGAAUGGACUGAAUCAGAUGGAAUGGGAAUUACAGGGGUAAUUUUUAGUGUUAAAGUUGACAUAUGUUUUAACACCGGAAAUAUUAUAUACUCCUGCCCAUGGAAAAGGAUAUGAAGCUUGCUUAACACAAGACAACUUGAUGAAGAGAGGAUUUGAACUUUGCAAUGGAUGCUUUCUAUGUAAAGCAGAGACAGAGAAUGCAAAACUUUUGUUGAUGCACUGUGUGGUAGCCAGGGAUAUGUUGAGUACGUUCUUAAACAUUUUGGAGUUCAAUGGGUAAUAGUGUCAAACACUCUUAAGAAGGCUUUGGUUAGCUGGUUCCUAUGAAAACAGUCUUUUAAUUUUUAUGGGCAAUUGGCGCGAAUGCCCUUGAAAUGCGCUGGUCUUUAAUUUUUGCCCCUGUAAUGCGUGGUCUUUAAUAUUUGCCCUUCUGAGCUAAAAGAUAAUAAAAAAAAGACGUUACUACCCCUACCCAUAACAUAUAAAAACCUGAAAGUCUGUAAUGAAUCCCAAACAUUCAAUUAAAC